rnacentral:lncRNA from 1 species
UUUGAUUUAGGAUUUAGGAUUUGGUUAGGGUUUGAUUUAGGAUUAGGAUUUGAUUAGGAUUUGAUUUAGAAUUAGGAUUUGAUUUAGGAUUAAGAUUUGAUUAGGGUUUGAUUUAGGAUUAGGAUUUGGUCAGGGUUUGAUUUAGGAUUUAAGACUAGGGUUAGGAUUUAGGGUUUGGUUAGGAUUUGAUUUAGGAUUAGUAUUUAGAUUAGGAUUUAGGAUUUGAUUAGAUUUUGGUUAAGAUUUGAUUAAGAUUUAGUUUAGGGUUUAGAAUUAGGAUUAGGAUUUGAUUAAGAUUUGAUUUAGGAUUAGGAUUUAGGGUUUGGUUAGGAUUUGGUUUAGGAUUUAGGAUUUGAUUAGGAUUUGAUUUAGGAUUUAGGAUUUGAUUAGGGUUUGAUUUAGGAUUUAGGAUUUUAUUUGAAUUUAUUUACAAUAUAAGAUUUAGUUAGUUUUUGGCCUAAAGUUUGAAUGAAGUAAGAUUUCAAUUAAGAUUAAAUUAAGAUUGAAUUGAGAUAUAUUUGAAAUAUGUUUGUAAUCAUUCUAAUAUUUCAUUAAGAUUUCUUAUUUUUUCUUUGGAAUUCUUUUGACGUUUCUCUGAAUUUUAUUAAAGCUUAUUUAAUAUUAUUAGUAUUCUAUUAGAAUAAUAUUGUUAGGAUUUUGUUGUUGAAAUUUCCAUUCUACCUUCUACAGCUAAGUGCCUGGAGCAUUCUCAAGCAAGAUUUCAUGUAUUACGACAACGGCUCAAAAAAGGACAUGUGAAAUACAA